rnacentral:rRNA from 1 species
AACGAACGCUGGCGGCAGGCUUAACACAUGCAAGUCGAGCGCCCCGCAAGGGGAGCGGCAGACGGGUGAGUAACGCGUGGGAAGCUACCCAUCUCUACGGAACAACUCCGGGAAACUGGAGCUAAUACCGUAUACGUCCUUCGGGAGAAAGAUUUAUCGGAGAUGGAUGAGCCCGCGUUGGAUUAGCUAGUUGGUGGGGUAAUGGCCUACCAAGGCGACGAUCCAUAGCUGGUCUGAGAGGAUGAUCAGCCACACUGGGACUGAGACACGGCCCAGACUCCUACGGGAGGCAGC